CCCUUAGAUGUCCUGGGCCGCACGCGCGUUACACUGAUGCAUUCAACGAGCUUAUAACCUUGGCCGAGAGGCCUGGGCAAUCUUGUUAACGUGCAUCGUGAUAGGGAUAGAUUAUUGAAAUUAUUAAUCUUGAACGAGGAAUUCCUAGUAAACGCAGAUCAUCAAUCUGCAUUGAUUACGUCCCUGCCCUUUGUACACACCGCCCGUCGCACCUACCGAUUGGAUGUUCCGGUGAGCUCUUCGGACUGCGCGGUCUGCAGUUUCUGCGUUCCGUGCGGAAAGUUGUGCAAACCUUAACAUUUAGAGGAAGGAGAAGUCGUAACA
rnacentral:rRNA from 1 species